rnacentral:rRNA from 1 species
ACAGCAGUAGCCGCGGGAAAACGUAGGGUGCGAGCGUUAAUCGGAAUUACUGGGCGUAAAGCGGGCGCAGACGGUUACUUAAGCAGGAUGUGAAAUCCCCGGGCUCAACCUGGGAACUGCGUUCUGAACUGGGUGACUAGAGUGUGUCAGAGGGAGGUAGAAUUCCACGUGUAGCAGUGAAAUGCGUAGAGAUGUGGAGGAAUACCGAUGGCGAAGGCAGCCUCCUGGGAUAACACUGACGUUCAUGCCCGAAAGCGUGGGUAGCAAACAGGAUUAGAUACCCCCAGUAGUCCCUGUCUCUUAUA